rnacentral:lncRNA from 1 species
GGCAAAGAUGGCAGCCUGCCCCUUCCUCUGGAAGCUCUGUUCCAGGUGCCGUGGAAGUGUGGCCUGCAGAACAAUGCUGCUCAGCUCCCUGGAUUCUGACCACUUCCUAGGGGUAUGUGCAGACCUCUUGCCUUGCCUGAGUUGCAAACAUGUUUGUUGGAAAUCCCAGUGCCGGAGUACGUAAAGCACCUGGGUCUCUGUGCAUGCCUGAAC